rnacentral:lncRNA from 1 species
GCUUGAUAAAUCAAUGAUCUAUUUUCACUUGUGCUUCUUAACUUCAACUAGAUGGACGUAUAUAAGAUCUUCUGUUGGAAUAAAUUUUUCGAUCAUCAUACGUACAUGUAGAGAAAGUCAAAAGCUCUGGUGUCGGAUUGACUACUGCUGCUCUUUUGUCCAUGGUAUUUUUUACGCAUAUUUUUGUUCAUUUGUAGCAUUUUAUUUGUUAGAUUUUAGAUACAUACACAUUUCUUUAAUAACGUUUCCCCACCAAUUGCCGAAUUUUGACAUGAACAUUUAAAUUUUAUUUUUUUUCAUUUUAUUCUCUUUCUUAUUCUAACCAUUUUGUUAUUUUUGUUUUGAGGAAUUUGAGCAUUUGUUUAAAGUAUAUAUAAACUACAAAUUGUGUGUGUUUGGUGUUGGCAAUCCUUGGAGCAAGCUUAUUGGUACAAACUAUGUAUUUGGCCUUGUACUACAAAAUCGGAGGUAAAAUGAUUUUCACAAGGUUUAUUAAUUAUUAGCUAGACAAUUAAUUGAUAAUAUUUCUUUUCCAAUCUGAUUUGUUCUAAUUUAAAACCGGUAUUUGAUUUGUAUUUUUAAUUUAUGGUUAAUUCUAUAAUAUCUAAUUGUAAAGUCACUUGCACUUCCAAUUUUAACAACGUUGCAUUGUAGUUUAUGUCUGUUGCAAUUAAAAGAUUGAAUCAUUAAAUACUAUCAAAAGGGAUAAUCUUUUGAUUUAUAAGUAAUUAAAAUAAGGUCUGUUAAUAUAAAUAUUAUAAAUUUAGGCACUAACCUUUAUUUUUUCUAUUGAUACUGCAUUUAGUUGCUUCUCUUUUUCUUAUUUGAGUUCUGUUAUGUGGAUCUUUCACUUAUUUGAAUUCUGAAGAAAGGAGGUCGUUCACUCGACGAAGACUUGCUCCCAUGACAAGCAUAUCAUUCAAAUCUGAUUAAUGUUUGUUUUAUUUGAGUGCUUUGCAACCUUCUUUUACUGCCAAUGGUAGCAUGUUUGAUAUAGAAAAUUGGAUAAUGUAGAUAGUAUUAUGAAAUGUCAAGACACUCAAGAUUAACCAACAUUCAUAGAAACCGAACCAAGAAAUGCAGAAAAUAAAAGUGCAGAAAUAAUGAACACGAUGAUUUUUUCGGCCGAAGCCCCAGAGGUUCAGCACAAGUGCCUAAUCCCCUGUUGAGCAUCCACUAUCAAUGGAUUUAGCUCGGUUGCACUAUAAGGCCCCCAAAAUUAGGUAGUAAGUAUACAAUGUUUCCAGAAUAUUACAAUAUACAAUUCACAAAGACUUAUCUCAUAAAGAUUCACCAAGGCAGACCACGGUUCACGAAGAAACCACGAACAGAUCACUCAGACACUUAAGUCACAGGAACAACCAUCCAAGAAUCACAUGACUUCACAAGUCAUUAUACAACAUGUAAGCUAUUCCACACAGAAAACACAAGAAAUCACCAAGAUUUCAUCAAACCCGACUGCACAUCAUAUGAAACCACUCAGGUUUCCAUAAACUCAACACGGCAGUUCAGCAGCUUAGAGAUCUAUAACAUAUUAUGGAUUAACUCAAGAAAGAGUUCUGAAAAUCACUCAAGAAAAGAGCCAAAAUGAGAGAUUCAUCGAGAGAGAAAGAGAGGCGACUCAAAAAACCCUCGAACUCGAGAAGCCGAAUGGAGUUAAAAUGAAAACCAACAGCCACCCAAACCAUUCAGGGUUAAAUACAUAGAAUGAUCCAGAAUCAUAUCCAACGGCCAAGAGAUCAGCACAUGUCACAAUUCAGUUAACUCCUUCCAUUAGUAAAGUGUCACUUUACAGAACACGCUUUUUGUUAAAAUUGUGGAAGCAUAAUUUAAAUCAAAGUGAUCAGCAGUUUGACUCCCAACAUAUUAUAGAUAUAAUAAGCUAAAGUUCAUUUUAUUGUUUAGACAUAACCAAUAAUACUUACUAAAAUGCACCAAGACUGUUUUGAGAUAUUGUUUGACCAAUUGAAAAUGAUGACAGCAGUGCAUUGAAACGCAAAGGGAGAACGAGGAUGAGAAAAUGGAUUCACAGAAGCAUAAAUUUGAUGAUAAAAUAGUGGAAAAGAAAGAAGACCUUCGUCAGGUGGUGUCAGUGUGGGUCCAAAGACACUCGGGUCAUCCAAGGAUUUGUUUGAAUACUUCUACAAGUUUUUUCUAGACUCCGAAUCUCAAUAUCAACAUGGUAAAGUGAAAAUAUUGUUUUUAUUUCUAAUAUAAUUAAUUGGGCUGAUUAUUCUUAUAAUAUUAUCAUAUGAUUCUUCUAGCCUAACAUGUGUGCAGUAUUUUUAUUAUUUGUGCCAUCAAGAAAUCCAAACAAGUUCGAACGAGCUUUUUUGUAUUCCAAGAUUGGUGUGCUCAAGUAAGCAACCAUCUUGUGGAAGUAGGAUAUGGAAUGGGAGCCCCCAGGGCACAUCUCCAAGUGGUAAAAAGGGAGGGUGGAGAAAUCCAACUUUGCUUGAGGCUGCCGCAUCGAGGGUUCGAAUCCUGAAAUAUGGAUUUGGCUCUUGGAUAAGUGCAAGUGUACAAGCAGUCUUCCACCCUGUACUCUUGGAGGCAUAACUUAUGAUUUACUUCCCUCACGAUGCUCCAGGACAGGGGCGGUGGGGGACCCUUAAGGUUGGGGUUCAACCUUUUUUUAGGAUAUGGAAUGGGAGUCUUUUCAUUUCUCAGUAUUUAGCAAUAUUUCACCUUUAAUUUUUUAUUGUGUGUUUGGUUCUUCUGGUUUCUUCAACUCUACUGUUGAAUAUUUUAUUUCUUUUCAUAUUCCGUUUGAGGUUAACCUUUAAUUUUUUGUUAGUGUGUUUAGUUCUUCCAAUUUCUUCAGCUAUAGAGUAUUAAUCAUAUCAAAGUAUUAAUUGCAAAAUUGUUUAAAAUAUUUGAAAUAUAUCAUUUAUUUUGCUGAAAACAAUUUUAGAAUAUCUCUGCAUAUAUUUACUAAUUCUGAAACUUUUUCUUUUACGUUGCAAAUGUACUUUAGAAUUUAAUUUUAUUUGUGUGGAGACUAGAUAAUCUAAUUCUGAAAUUGUCUUAUGUGUGUUACUUCCUCGUAGUAAGAGAGUGGUUAAUAAAAAAGUUCUAAAAGUCCCUCCUUUUGAAAGAAUGGUAAUUUUUAUUUUUAUUUUUUUAUUUUUUAUUUUUUAUUUUUUUUGCUUCUUUUAUAUUUUCCAAAUUUCUUCAAUGUCUUAUGGUUACCUUUGUAUUCAUGGAAAGUUUAUAACAUUCAAGUUGUCACCUGAUCAUUUCUUCAAUGUGCUUUCUGAUCAUUUUUUUGUCAUGAAGUGUUCAUUUGUCAUUUCAACAGUUAAGAGCAUCAGAUGAUUUUGGCAGUAAUCUGGAAGCAUAUUAUUUUUUGCUUUUACAUAUUUCUGUGAUGAAAUUUUUUCUUAAGGAAUAUAAUUUAUAAAUUAUUUACUCUGACCCCAAAUUUUUGGGUAAUGAUGUGACCUCUGUUUUACCUCAUUCUUGUCGUAUGUAUUCACUGUUCUUUCUUGGAAUCUACCAUUCUCUUGAAUAUUAAAAUGAAAAAAUUUACAGUCUUUGAUUGUUUUACACGACGUAGAUGAGAUCAGCAGAUUACAUGCUUAUCAAGCAUCGAUCAGUUUCUUUUUUAUACUUACUUUCUUUAUAAGUUAUUCUACAAAUUUCUAGAUAAGCAUGGAAUUUCUUAAGAUGAUUAAGCUAGCAUUUGCAAUGUAUUUUCUUUUGAUAGGCUUUGUUUGAUUUUCAAUAUAUUGAUUCCAAGGGAAGGGAUCAAGGAAGCAAUGUUAGAAGGGAAGCAAUGUUAGAAGGAUAUCUCAAAGUCUUGUAGCCCUUUUAAUGUUAAGGCACAAAUACAAGUACAUGAAAUGCCUGCUGCUAACAGUGACAAGUAAGUUUGCUUCAAGUUUCCUGAUUACCCUUCUUAUGGUAUAAUUAAAUCUUUGAAGUAUCAUUUUGUAACUAUUACUUUCCAUUUUGUUGACCAUUGCAUUAAUCAAUUGAUGUUAAACUUGACUUUCUUUCGUCUUUGUAUUUCAAUCUAAAAUUUGGAACGUUUCACUUCAUAUUUUCUUUUGGUUGUGUCCAUGUAAGAUCAUUACUGUUAGUGCCUGUCUUUCCUGUUUCUUUUUGAAAAUUUUGAAAUUUUACGAAAGGUAAAAAUAUUAUUAACAUUCAAUAUGAACUUGUGCACAUUUUGUUACUCAACUGUAAUUUCAACCCGUAUUUUUUAUUAGAGGUUGAGUCAUAAAUUAAUUUUUUUAUUUUAUAUCUUGAGCUAAUAAUAUAAGGAUGUUGUCCUUGGUUUUUUCUUUUUUCUUUUUUUGUUUUUUUUUUUCAAGGUCCACUAUUAAUUAGGAGAUGGCGGUAUGGGGUUUUUAAGCCUAUUAAAUAGUAAAUAUUCGUUCGAUGGAAAGAACUUUACAUGAGAUGCUUCCUUGUAGGUUAUUUUUGGAUAAAUAUGGAUAAUGUCUGUGUUGCCUCAUACUGGUAAUUGAAAUUCUUGCAACCUUUUGAGUCUGUUAUUAAUCUUCUCAGUUAAUUGAUUUGUACUAUUUUAAAAAAUAUAAACAUGUAGGAUUGGAAUACUAGAUAACCCCUAGCAUUACCUUUGAAUUUGAAAAUUUUGUACCUUCCAGCUAAGAGGUUGUACAGUGAAGACAGAACUAAUUUUAGCCUUACUUUAAUGUCGUGCAUAUAUGAUUACAUAAUCAAUUUACUUAAGUUUUUAACCAAAAAUUUUCCAUACUUUUAACUGUUUUGGAGUGCCAUAGCUGAGAUCAGUGAACAUGCUUAUCAGGUCUAAGUGAGUUUCUUUUUCAUAUGUACCUUGUUUAUAAUCUAUGUUACAAAUUUCUGGAUAACCUUUGAAUUUCUUAGGAUGAUUAAGCUAGCAUUUCUAAUCUAUCUUUCUUUUCAUAGGCAUUGUUCAAUUUUCAAUAUAUUGGCUCCAAUAUGAGGCAUCAAGGAAGCAUGUUAGAAGGGUAUCUUAAGAGUCUUGUAGCCCUUGUAAAUGACUAGGUAACAAAUAGAAGAAGUUCGCGAAUAGGUUCAUGCUACAGGGAUAAGUAAAUUUGUUUCAAGUUUCCCGAUUACCCUUUCAUGACAUAGUUACACUUUAGAAAUAUCAUUUUGUAACAAUUACUUUCCAUUUUGUUGAUCAUUAUAUUAAUCAGCUGAGGUUAAAUAUGACUUCCUUUUGUCUCCGUAUUUCAACCUAAAAUUUGGAAGGUUUCACUUCAUAUUUUCUUGGGGUUGUGACCAUGUCAAAUCAUUACUAUUAGUGCAUGUCUUUCUUGUUUCUUUUUUGAAAAUUUUGAAAUUUUAUGAAAGGCAAAAAGGUGAUUGUAAUUCAAUAUACACUUACGUAUAUUUUGUUACUUAACAGUAACUUCAACAUGUAUUUUUUUGUUAAAUUCUUAUGCUCGGGUAGAGGUUGGGUUAAUUUCAUUUUUUUUUUCAUUGACGUAUGUAAUCAUUUCUUAAAAAUCUCAAAGUCCUACUAUUAGGGCAUGGCGGCAUGGGGCUGUUAAUCCUGUUAGAACAUGCACAGUUUUUUUCGAACCGCAGGUUUCUAUUCAAAUAGGAACAGCCUCUGAAAUAACAUUGCUUGUGAAGCUUCGUGCAAAUGAAGGUAAGGCAAUGGAUCCUCAUGGAUACAUCAAAAUCAAAUGCAAUCGGCUCCUGCAACCAAAAGUAAUGAGCACCGAUUGUUUCCUCCAACAUUUUCUUUCUUUCUUUAUUGGUACAACUUUCUGAUUUUAUAAUGAGAAGACUUUUACCAAGUCAAAUGGCAAGUUCUACAUAAUGGAUAGUAUAAAAGUUACCCACUGGUUGUGAAUAUUAACUGUUUUGUAAAGUACAAAGAACUUAGAAGGGGCAUUUAAUUGUUAUAUUACCCCAUAUCCUACUUCCAAACACAAUGAAUGUUUCAUCCUUCUUAGUGAUCUUAUGAUGCCUCUGUGUUUUGGCAUUUGUCCAACAGGUCGAUAUAUUUUCAUCUCGAAUUGUCUUGUUGAAAUAUUUUUUACCAUUGUAAAACUAAUAGCGUCAUUAUCAUCUUAUAAAUUAAUCGAUUUACUUGUAUGGCUGCUGUAUAUUUUCUGUAUACAUAUGCAAUAAAACCUACAAAAUAGUACAUUUUACACAUAAUGGC